AUUGAACGCUGGCGGCAUGCCUUACACAUGCAAGUCGAACGGUAACAGGUUAAGCUGACGAGUGGCGAACGGGUGAGUAAUAUAUCGGAACGUGCCCAGUCGUGGGGGAUAACUGCUCGAAAGAGCAGCUAAUACCGCAUACGACCUGAGGGUGAAAGCGGGGGAUCGCAAGACCUCGCGCGAUUGGAGCGGCCGAUAUCGGAUUAGGUAGUUGGUGGGGUAAAGGCCCACCAAGCCAACGAUCUGUAGCUGGUCUGAGAGGACGACCAGCCACACUGGGACUGAGACACGGCCCAGACUCCUACGGGAGGCAGCAGUGGGGAAUUUUGGACAAUGGGCGCAAGCCUGAUCCAGCCAUGCCGCGUGCGGGAAGAAGGCCUUCGGGUUGUAAACCGCUUUUGUCAGGGAAGAAAAGGUUCUGGUUAAUACCUGGGACUCAUGACGGUACCUGAAGAAUAAGCACCGGCUAACUACGUGCCAGCGGCCGCCGUAA
rnacentral:rRNA from 1 species